rnacentral:rRNA from 1 species
AUUGAACGCUGGCGGCAUGCCUAACACAUGCAAGUCGAGCGGAUGAAGGGAGCUUUCUCCUGGAUUCAGCGGCGGACGGGUGGGUAAUGCCUACGAAUCUGCCUUGUAGUGGGGGAUAACGUCCCUUAACGGGCGCUAAUACCGCAUCCGUCCUGAGGUUGAACGUGGGGGUUCUUCGGACCUCACGCUUUCAGAUGAGCCUAGGUCGGAUUAGCUAGUUGGUGGGGUAAAGGCCUACCAAGGCGACGAUCCGUAACUGCCCUGAGAGGGUGAUCGGUCACACUGGAACUGAGACACGGUCCAGACUCCUACGGGAGGCAGCAGUGGGGAAUAUUGGGCAAUGGGCGAAAGCUUGAUCCAGCAAUGCCGCGUGAGUGAUGAAGGUCUUCGGAUGGUAAAGCACUGUAAGUUGGGAGGAAGGGAAGUAAAUGAAUACAUGGACGUUUUGACGGUACCAAAAGAGAAAGCAACGGCUAACUACGUG